rnacentral:rRNA from 1 species
GAACUGAAGAGUUUGAUCAUGGCUCAGAUUGAACGCUGGCGGCAGGCCUAACACAUGCAAGUCGAGCGGAUGAAGGGGGCUUGCUCCUGGAUUCAGCGGCGGACGGGUGAGUAAUGCCUAGGAAUCUGCCUGGUAGUGGGGGAUAACGUCCGGAAACGGGCGCUAAUACCGCAUACGUCCUGAGGGAGA